GGCCCUGGCCCUGGUCUUGGCCCUGGUCUUGGCCCUGGCCCUGGCCCUGGCCCUGGUCCUGGCCACAGUGUCCAGGCC
rnacentral:miRNA from 1 species